rnacentral:ncRNA from 2 species
UGAAUAUCAAAGUAUUAGGGUUCUCUACUUAGAGAUAUUAGGGAAAUUGGUGCAAAGCCAAUACAGCCCCCGCUACUGUAAACAUGGACGAGUUCUAAAAGCCACUGGAUUUAAUCUGGGAAGGCAGAAGGAGGAAGAAGUGUGAGUCAGGAUACCUAACUAAUACUUGGCAUGGUU